ACACUCUUAGCAACUUGGUAAAGAAUUCCUAAUAAGCGUCUUUACCGAGCUCUUGGUAAUUACGCGUCCUACAAAAAUUAUACGCGAUUAUUACCGCAUCAAUACCAAACAGGUAACUAGCCUUCCACCGCAAUAUUUUAAGUGAUCUUUAUAAUUUUGGUAAUAAAUCCCUACUAGCCGGUAAUUAUAUCCUUCAAAUUUAGAUAACACUCUUUAGUAAAGAGUCUUUACCAUAAUUUUACUUAAGUGCAGUACAAAUGUUUCCCGUUGUGGUGCUGAUGAGAUCUACAUUUUGGUGUAGUUUAUUACCGUAGAGUUUUAGUUUCCGCUCAACUCAAUUCAACAUGGCGAAAUUAAUCGGUUUUUGCCCGACGUAAAAAACUGAUAAAAACUUCUGGAAAUUAUAUAGAAUGUUUGGAAACAUUGAAGCAAAAAUUUGAGUUAGAAAUCCGAACAGAGAUUUUUCUGCCAGACGACCAGGGGGAGGAGAUCGACGACGAAAGUUUCAUCAAUAAUUUACGUUACACAUCCUGAUGAGUCGCCGAAGUCCAAUAAUGGUUUCAGAAGAACCCAAAUUUCAAAUGAUGUUGAUAUUUUCACUCAGAUUGUAAACGCUGCAGUCACUGAGAGCGUCAAAAUUUUCCGUUUAGUUGCAGAGUGCAAUGAGAAAAACUGCGUCGAUAAAACGUCGUCGACAACUUUAGCUAAUGAAUUUGUAGCCAAGUUAAUAUAGGUGAAAGGAAACACUUAGCAGCCGCAAUAAUCAGGCUACUACCUUCAUAAAGAUAUUCUAAGUCAGUGGAGGGUCUGGACAUUUUAUUUGAUGACGUCAACCCAUGUGGACUGAUCCAAAAUCGUUGAUUUAUCGGAAUUUGAAGGGGGAACAGAAGAAUAAAUAUGUAAAUAUGUAUGUAUGUAACUCAAUAGUUAACAUUAUACUUAAAUUUUAUAAUUAUGUAAGUAUGUUUCAAAAUGAUUUUACAACAAAUAUAGUUGAUUAAAAGAUUAUUGUAAAGAAAAACAAAAAA